ensembl:lncRNA
ACUGGUACAGAGUCAAUGUGGAGGCUAUAUACAGGGGGUACUGGUACAGAGACAAUGUGGAGGCUAUAUACAAGGGGUACCGGUACAGAGUCAAUGUGGAGGCUAUAUACAGGGGGUACAGGUACAGAGUCAAUGUGGAGACUAUAUACAGGGGGUACAGGUACAGAGACAAUGUGGAGGCUAUAUACAGGGGGUACAGGUACAGAGACAAUGUGGAGGCUAUAUACAGGGGGUACAGAGACAAUGUGGAGGCUAUAUACAGGGGGUACAGGUACAGAGACAAUGUGGAGGCUAUAUACAGGGGGUACAGGUACAGAGACAAUGUGGAGGCUAUAUACAGGGGGUACAGGUACAGAGACAAUGUGGAGGCUAUAUACAGGGGUACAGGUACA